UAGAUGGGCCUUUUGAUUGGUUUAUUAAUUCUGUUCUUAAUGAACCCAGAAGGUGGCAUACGAAGAGAGGAGGCGGGAAAUGCAGGACGUAAUGCUGAAUGCACACCCAACUUGCGAGUAAGCCCCUUUGCCAGAGCGAGAUUUCUGCGUUAACAUGCAUAAAGCCCGGGCUGCGGGGAGUUUGGUGGGCCAUACAGAGAGAGAGACGUGCGUAGCCAGCGCAAGGGCAACUCGUCGAUUUUAGCAUUUGCUCAGUCGAAAUAGAAAGCCGCCGGACGGGGAAUCGAGGCCUUGGAUUGAGCAUUUCAAAGAAGAAAGUGGCAAAGAAGGUUCUAGUCCUGAAGCAAUUGAGAGACCUCUGAGGAGUCCGUAGCAAAGAUGUCCCGCCUGCAACCUAGUUUCUCAGAUCCCUCUCUUCCCAACACUGUCUACUCGCCACUGGACAAUCUUGGCUUAUGGAACCUUCUUCCUAUAUUCGAUAAAACCAGAUGAUCCUGCGUUUUAAGGCUCGACUAGAAGAGUUGCGGGCGAUGCGCAGGAGAUAGAAGGGAACCGAAGGCUCUACUUAACCCUGAAAGAUCCCGCUUACUCUGAUGGACCCAGAAAGUUGCUCUGAUGUGAUGGACCCAGAAAGACCCCGCUUGCUCUGCAAUCUGCAGGAAGGGCUGGCUCUGCACUUCAACUCCCUCUGUCGGAAUUUUCUCGCCCUGCAGGGAAGUUUUCACUCCCGGCCGCCGCAACUUCCAAUGGGUAGUUUCUUUAUUUUCUUUUUCUCCCCCCGCCCACCUCAGCACGAACCUUUUCGUUGACCUCUACACGCCCCUCUAGUUUUCCGCUCGUUUUUUAAGUGCCCCAACGUUUUGAGGAAAUGCAUUGCUUUUAACCGAUAUGUUAAUAUGAGGGCAAAGUAGGAAUUAGUAUUAUUUUUAAAAUGCAUUUAUCACUUUUCAGCAAAAGUUCUCAGCUGUUUACAUAGCAAAAAAGAAGAAAGAAUGAGAAAAUAGUUCUUUGUCCCAAAAGGAUUCACAGUCUUAAAAAGAAAAUGCAGAGGAGAGCAGCAGCUACUAGAGAGAGGCUAUGCUGAGCUGAAUAAAGACAAUUGCUCUCCCCCGGCUAAAUAUGAGAGCCACCACUGUGUAUAUAGAGAUCACAAUAGAUGUGUACCAAUUAUCCUUUGAAGGGUUCAUAUUUCUUUUUUGUGGGGGGUUAUAUUUUGGAACAUCUCAACACAAUAUGUAGAACGGUUAUUAUGAUCAGAGUUUGCUCUUGUUUUCU